rnacentral:rRNA from 1 species
UGAGGAAUAUUGGUCAAUGGACGCAAGUCUGAACCAGCCAUGCCGCGUGCAGGAUGACGGCUCUAUGAGUUGUAAACUGCUUUUGUACGAGGGUAAACGCAGAUACGUGUAUCUGUCUGAAAGUAUCGUACGAAUAAGGAUCGGCUAACUCCGUGCCAGCAGCCGCGGUAAUACGGAGGAUUCAAGCGUUAUCCGGAUUUAUUGGGUUUAAAGGGUGCGUAGGCGGUUUGAUAAGUUAGAGGUGAAAUUUCGGGGCUCAACCCUGAACGUGCCUCUAAUACUGUUGAGCUAGAGAGUAGUUGCGGUAGGCGGAAUGUAUGGUGUAGCGGUGAAAUGCUUAGAGAUCAUACAGAACACCGAUUGCGAAGGCAGCUUACCAAACUAUAUCUGACGUUGAGGCACGAAAGCGUGGGGAGCAAACAGGAUUAGAUACCCUGGUAGUCCACGCAGUAAACGAUGAUAACUCGUUGUCGGCGAUACACAGUCGGUGACUAAGCGAAAGCGAUAAGUUAUCCACCUGGGGAGUACGUUCGCAAGAAUGAAACUCAAAGGAAUUGACGGGGGCCCGCACAAGCGGAGGAACAUGUGGUUUAAUUCGAUGAUACGCGAGGAACCUUACCCGGGCUUGAAAGUUAGCGACGAUUCUUGAAAGAGGAUUUCCCUUCGGGGCGCGAAACUAGGUGCUGCAUGGUUGUCGUCAGCUCGUGCCGUGAGGUGUCGGGUUAAGUCCCAUAACGAGCGCAACCCCUACCGUUAGUUGCCAUCAGGUGAAGCUGGGCACUCUGGCGGGACUGCCGGUGUAAGCCGAGAGGAAGGUGGGGAUGACGUCAAAUCAGCACGGCCCUUACGUCCGGGGCUACACACGUGUUACAAUGGUAGGUACAGAGGGCAGCUACCCAGCGAUGGGAUGCGAAUCUCGAAAGCCUAUCUCAGUUCGGAUUGGAGGCUGAAACCCGCCUCCAUGAAGUUGGAUUCGCUAGUAAUCGCGCAUCAGCCACGGCGCGGUGAAUACGUUCCC